rnacentral:rRNA from 1 species
ACAUGCAAGUAGAACGCUGAAGAGAGGAGCUUGCUCUUCUUGGAUGAGUUGCGAACGGGUGAGUAACGCGUAGGUAACCUGCCUUGUAGCGGGGGAUAACUAUUGGAAACGAUAGCUAAUACCGCAUAACAAUGGAUGACACAUGUCAUUUAUUUGAAAGGGGCAAUUGCUCCACUACAAGAUGGACCUGCGUUGUAUUAGCUAGUAGGUGAGGUAACGGCUCACCUAGGCGACGAUACAUAGCCGACCUGAGAGGGUGAUCGGCCACACUGGGACUGAGACACGGCCCAGACUCCUACGGGAGGCAGCAGUAGGGAAUCUUCGGCAAUGGGGGCAACCCUGACCGAGCAACGCCGCGUGAGUGAAGAAGGUUUUCGGAUCGUAAAGCUCUGUUGUAAGUCAAGAACGAGUGUGAGAGUGGAAAGUUCACACUGUGACGGUAGCUUACCAGAAAGGGACGGCUAACUACGUGCCAGCAGCCGCGGUAAUACGUAGGUCCCGAGCGUUGUCCGGAUUUAUUGGGCGUAAAGCGAGCGCAGGCGGUUUGAUAAGUCUGAAGUUAAAGGCUGUGGCUCAACCAUAGUUCGCUUUGGAAACUGUCAAACUUGAGUGCAGAAGGGGAGAGUGGAAUUCCAUGUGUAGCGGUGAAAUGCGUAGAUAUAUGGAGGAACACCGGUGGCGAAAGCGGCUCUCUGGUCUGUAACUGACGCUGA